ACGUAACUUAGUCUAAAGUUCAGGGGCAGGAUCGAGCCAAACAGAGAAUCGAACAAAGAUGGAUAGAUGGAUGGCUGGAUCAGAUGGAGGUUUUCAGAGAUACUUAACGCAAACAUAACUAAUGUUGAAUUAUGCAUAUA